GGAGGAUUACCUAAUACACCAUGCCUCCCACUGAAUCUUUUCCCUUUUUCAUUGUUUGGCAUGGAAUCCAUGGUUUCAGACACGCCUUAGUUCUUGGAGAAGUUCUAAACUAGAAAUCAAUAUCUCUUUUUCAUUUGUGGUUUGUUGUUUUAGGUGAGAUGGAUGGCAAGGAACAGAGUGAAAUUGAAUCUGCAGCAGAGUUGUUUUGGUGAAGCCACUCACAGCUGAACUUCUGUUGGAAGCGAUCCAGACAACCAGUUCUAACUGAAAAAUGUGCCUAAACAGUGAAGCACCACCAGUCAACAGUCCGGAGAUCGUAAAGAGUAGUAUCCAGAUGGCUUCCUGCACUUUUCUCCAAUGACAUAGUUGAAGGCUUCCGUCUACAAAUGUUCAGUCACCUGACAUAAAUGCACCGUAGUUCUGGAAAUGAGAAGGAUGGAAAAAUUGGUACCUUGGAAGACAAGCAGGCGAUUGAUGAGAGAGUUUACACAUAUGCAUGACCAAGUUGCUCAUCCAACCUGAUUCUUGGACCAAGCAUAAGUUGUGGGGCAACCAUCGAGAGAUUAGACAGGAGCUUCAAGUAAGAUUUUUGGAGCAUCUUUCGCACUACACCAAAAUCGUUUAUCAGGAACAGCUAGGGCUUUGAUUUGAGAACAAUUUUAAGCCGUUCCUGAUUGCACACGGUUCUACACUGUUUUUAAGUGUUUUAAUGGUGGUCGAAUGUCUGAGUGUGGAAGAACCCAACCAAUCCCUGCCAUUUCUAAUCCUCUUGGAUCGAGAUCUCUUCCAAUCUCAAUGGCUUCUGCGUCUGCUCUGCCUCCUCCUUCAUACGCUCAUGAGAUCCAAGACCAGUAUGACGAGAAAGAGGAUUUCGCCGAAUGCAAAUGCGCUUUCAUUACAGUAGCUCUCUGCCCUUGCCUCAUGAUUCUCAUCAUUGUCAUCAUUGUCGUGUCGAUCGUCCUUAUGGUAAAGCUCCGCAUCUUCCGCCACAUCCCUGUCCACUGUCUCUCCAGUCUCAUUUCUAGGAAGAAAUGCCAUGCCUGAAUGAUUCUUUUGGAGUGCUGAUUACAUGUCUCUGUUUAUAUAGAUAUGCUAGUUCUGAAAAUUAAUCUAAGGAAUUGGGGUGUUACGAUUUUUUGAUUGCUAGAAAUAGCAAUUAGACCAGAAUUCAUCAGUUUGUUGAGAAAAUCAUAGCCACACCUUUGAUUUAAUCAGUAUCAGGAGAUUUACAUGGAUUUCUAAAAUGAUGGCCUAAUCCCAUCUCAUUACUAUUUAUGGCAUGCAUAGCUUCAUGUUUUCUUUUGCUUUGUGGAAAGGAGGGAAACUUGUUACUUAAAAAAAAAAAGUUGCUUGUAAAGCAUCUAACAAUGUAAUUCGAUUUGGAAUCCCUUGAUUCCAGUGCUGUAGAAAGCUGUUGUCUUAAGGAAGCAACUCUCCUGCAAUCCUUC